rnacentral:rRNA from 1 species
AUGCCGCCGGCAGAUGGUUGCCACCGCGACACUAUAGGAGCGUGUGUGGAUAUUUCUGCCGUUGUGUUCGCCCAGCCAAACCCUACUCCCAUUCGCUCCCUGCUCUUGAUCUGGUCGAGGCCGACGCGGUCGUUACCAUGGCCUCCGCUGUCCCCGCGGCCAAGACCACCCAUGGACCUCCCCGCCGUAUCCAGGCGCUCCAUGAAGCUCUCCCUCGUCUCCACGCCGAAGCACUCGAUCAAGGGAGCAUCGCAUCGCCAUCCCCGUUGUUGCUUCAAGUUCAGCUCCGGCGGCGUUUGCCUUUGA